UACGGAGGGUGCAAGCGUUGUUCGGAAUUACUGGGCGUAAAGCGCGCGUAGGCGGACCUGCAAGUCGGGGGUGAAAGCCCGAGGCUCAACCUCGGAACUGCCUUCGAUACUGCGGGUCUCGAGUCCGGGAGAGGUGAGUGGAAUUCCUAGUGUAGAGGUGAAAUUCGUAGAUAUUAGGAAGAACACCAGUGGCGAAGGCGGCUCACUGGCCCGGGACUGACGCUGAGGCGCGAAAGCGUGGGGAGCAAACAGG
rnacentral:rRNA from 1 species